rnacentral:rRNA from 1 species
GUGGGGAAUCUUGCGCAAUGGGCGAAAGCCUGACGCAGCAACGCCGCGUGGGGGAUGACGGCCUUCGGGUUGUAAACCCCUUUCGGUCCCGACGAAGGCUCCUGUUGUCAGGGGUUGACGGUAGGGUCAGAAGAAGCACCGGCUAACUACGUGCCAGCAGCCGCGGUAAUACGUAGGGUGCGAGCGUUGUCCGGAGUUACUGGGCGUAAAGAGCUCGUAGGCGGUUUGUCGCGUCGGCCGUGAAAUCCUGUUGCUCAACGGCAGGCUUGCGGUCGAUACGGGCAGACUUGAGUUCGGCAGGGGAGACUGGAAUUCCUGGUGUAGCGGUGAAAUGCGCAGAUAUCAGGAGGAACACCGGUGGCGAAGGCGGGUCUCUGGGCCGAUACUGACGCUGAGGAGCGAAAGCGUGGGGAGCGAACAGGAUUAGAAACCCUUGUAGUCC